rnacentral:rRNA from 1 species
UCAGGACGAACGCUGGCGGCGUGCUUAACACAUGCAAGUCGAGCGAUGAAGCUCCUUCGGGAGUGGAUUAGCGGCGGACGGGUGAGUAACACGUGGGUAACCUGCCUCAUAGAGGGGAAUAGCCUUUCGAAAGGAAGAUUAAUACCGCAUAAGAUUGUAGUACCGCAUGGUACAGCAAUUAAAGGAGUAAUCCGCUAUGAGAUGGACCCGCGUCGCAUUAGCUAGUUGGUGAGGUAACGGCUCACCAAGGCGACGAUGCGUAGCCGACCUGAGAGGGUGAUCGGCCACAUUGGGACUGAGACACGGCCCAGACUCCUACGGGAGGCAGCAGUGGGGAAUAUUGCACAAUGGGGGAAACCCUGAAUGCAGCAACGCCGCGUGAGUGAUGACGGCCUUCGGGUUGUAAAACUCUGUCUUUGGGGACGAUAAUGACGGUACCCAAGGAGGAGGCCACGGCUAACUACGUGCCAGCCGCGGC